AGCCCGAAGUUACUGAGCUCUUUUAAAAGGAUGUCUGCGUACUCCAUAAACAGUGUAGGUGUGGGCUGUAUUAACAGCAGGAACUUAUUUGGAAGUCAGAUUGCAUGAAACAUAUCCGGAUGUAAGUCAUCUGGCAUGAUGAUGGUAAGAGAAAACAACACACCCAGGUAAUUCCCUCGCUGAAAUACAAACAGCACCCAGAUUCCUCCAGCAAAGCAUUGGCUCGUGUACAGAACUGAAGGCAACUGUCAGCUCCAAAGCAGCAAGGCUGUUUCAGAACUAUGUAGGUGAUCAUACAGGCAAGAAGAGUAUUGAUCUGCCUACAGGACUCACUGUUCAAAGUCUCUGAAUUUUGCAUAAGUAGACAUAUGGCAACCUGAAACAUUCUUUUAAGCUUUAAACUUCUACAAGUUUUUCAUAAAGUCAAUAAAAAGUUUAAAUGUUAUUCA